rnacentral:rRNA from 1 species
AGGACGAACGCUGGCGGCGUGCUUAACACAUGCAAGUCGAGCGACGCUCCUCCUUCGGGAGGAUGACGGAGCGGCGAACGGGUGAGUAACACGUGGGCAACCUGCCCCUAGCUCUGGGAUAACCCCGGGAAAUCGGGACUAAUACCGGAUAUGAAGUCGGACGGCAUCGUCUGACUUGGAAAGUUUUUCGGCUAGGGAUGGGCCCGCGGCCUAUCAGCUUGUUGGUGGGGUAACGGCCUACCAAGGCGACGACGGGUA